UGCCCAUUGGCCCAGUGGUUAAGGCGUCUGACUGUACUUCCAGUAUAAAAUUAAACAGAAGAAUCAGAAGAUCCCUGGUUCGACCCCAGGAUGGGCAG